rnacentral:tmRNA from 1 species
GGGGGUGUCAAGGUUUCGACGGGGGUGCUGAACCUGUUGAUUGCGUGCCGCGGGGCUCACUCGACCGCGUCAAAAAUCGAUGAGAAAACACAGUUGCCAACGACGGUAACUACGGCCAACUGGCCAUCGCAGCCUAGCUGUGACGUCCCCACCUGAGGUGCUCCAGUAGGACUGGGGGCGAAAUCACCGGAGCUGGUGGGUCCGACCGCCCCGAUCGGACCCGCGAGACCUUAGGGGCUCGGAGCGGUGAGAGCCUGUCGAUGGGCGCGACCCGCUCUUAAAUCCAAGUCCACCGACUACGCACGUAGAAGUCGCAGGAGACGACUUCCGGACCCGGGUUCGACUCCCGGCGCCUCCACUG